rnacentral:lncRNA from 1 species
AAAUGUAUAUAGAAACAUUCAGCAAUACCCCGAGGCAACAAAAGUUCCUGGUGUAUUGAUUGUGAGAGUAGAUUCAGCUAUAUACUUCUCAAACUCUAACUACAUAAAGGAAAGGUAGGACACUUGUCUUACUUUUAAUCUGAAGUUUUUUAUAUUGACAAGAAAUAGCUAGGAACUUAACAAACUAACUUGUUAUUCAGGAUAUUGAGAUGGUUAACGGAUGAGGAAGAACAACUAAAAGCAGCUGGCCUUCCUAAAAUUCAAUUCCUGAUUGUUGAGAUGUCACGUAAGUAGAGUUUACCUUAAUUUGUCGCUGAAAUUAAGAGCAUGUUAUCCUACUUAGCGACUCCCCGUGUUUCUUCUUUUCUACUUGCAGCUGUUACUGACAUUGACACCAGUGGCAUCCAUGCCUUGGAAGAGUUGCUCAGAAGCCUAAAAAAGAGAGGUGUUCAGGUAAUGAUCUUAAUUAACUUCAUAAUGUAGAAAAUGUUUGAUCGCGUUUAGAGCUGUCAAUAUGGGUCGGGCCGGGCUAGCCCAGCCCAACCCACGUAGGCUUUAGCAAUUGACGGGCUGGGCUGCGCUAGCCCACCAUUUUGAUGAGCCUUAAAAUGGUCAGCCCACCCCAGCCUUAUGUGGGCCGCGGGCCCCACGGGCCGGCCCAUCAUUUUUAAAAAUAUAAUUUUAUAUUUUUUCUUUAAGUUCUGACCUAAAAAAAUAAUAAAUAUUUAAAAGUUGAAAAAUAUCUUAUUGGAAAAAAUUCGCAAAACUUAAUAACUUUUUAUAUUAUUCCACUAUAUCACAAUAAAUACUAAAAAAAGUAAAAGACAUGACUAUAUUUCAUUCACUAAUAGUCAAAACUUAAAACAAACUAUUCAAGAGAACGUUCACGAUGCUUAUGAGAUAUGCAACAAAUCAUCUUCAUCAAACACAUUUGAAUCCGUUUGUGACAAGGUUAUCUUCACUUUCAUCUACAAUUCAUACGCAAUAUUAAUUAGUUAAAUAUUAAAAAUAACUAAAGUUUAAAGAUUAAUAAUAUUUAGAUUCACAUAAAAAAAUAUUACCAGUUUGAGUUCGGGAAAACCUGUGCAGCCAAUUUCGAGCAAUAACAAGUGUUUGGACAUUUUCAUAAUAAAUGCAACUUCUGUACUUUGUAAGAACAUGCCACUAAUGCUAAAUGUUGAUUCCGAUGGUAUAAUGGUAAUAAGAUGCUAAGUACAUCAUGCACCAUCAUUGAAAGAUCAAGAUAAUUUCUAGAAUGGUCCUUCCAAUACAUGACAACAUCAUCUCUUGAAACUUCUCAAGAUCAAGUUUUGGUUCCUCUUAGUAAAGAUCCAAUUCUGACUUUCCAUCUCUAAAGACAGUAUACUUUUUAUUUUUUAUAUAUUUUAAAUAAAUAUUUUAUUAGGCCCACGGGCCGGGCAGGCCCAGCCUCAGUCAAGUCUCACGGGCCAUAGACUUACUCGGGCCGGGCUUAAAAGCCUCGUUUUUAAACGGGCUCCAAAAAUUCUAGCCCAGUCUUGCUAAAUCAUGGGCUGUGCUUGGCGCUCUAAUCGCGUUCUAGCAUAAUGGCUAUUUGACUAAAUUACUCUUUAUCUUUUCCUUAAACCAGUAAUUAAUCACUAUAAGCCUUUUUGGAGUAGUGAGGUCAAAACCAACAAGUUAAUGCCUUCUUGGAUUUUCAAAAUGACAACUUGGAAUUUUUUUUUGGUAAAUCGACAGAUAAGAGGACCGUAGGGAGUAGUAUUUUAACCUCAACAACUACAAUUUUGUGUCUAAAAACCUUACCUUGUUCAUUUCUUGAAUAGCUUGUUCUCUCGAACCCGGGAAGAGUGGUGAUUGAC